rnacentral:rRNA from 1 species
UGGGGAAUAUUGGACAAUGGGCGCAAGCCUGAUCCAGCAAUGCCGCGUGUGUGAAGAAGGCCUUCGGGUUGUAAAGCACUUUUAUCAGGAGCGAAACGCUGUCGGCUAAUACCCGGCGGAGCUGACGGUACCUGAGGAAUAAGCACCGGCUAACUUCGUGCCAGCAGCCGCGGUAAUACGAAGGGGUGCAAGCGUUAAUCGGAAUUACUGGGCGUAAAGCGUGCGUAGGCGGUUUCUUAAGUCUGCUGUGAAAUCCCCGGGCUCAACUGGGAAUGGCAGUGGAUACUGGGAGGCUAGAGUGUGUCAGAGGGUGGUGGAAUUCCCGGUGUAGCGGUGAAAUGCGUAGAGAUCGGGAGGAACAUCAGUGGCGAAGGCGGCCACCUGGGACAACACUGACGCUGAGGCACGAAAGCGUGGGGAGCAAACAGGAUUAGAUACCCUGGUAGUCCACGCCCUAAACGAUGCGAACUGGAUGUUGGUCUCAACUCGGAGAUCAGUGUCGAAGCUAACGCGUUAAGUUCGCCGCCUGGGGGAGUACGGUCGCAAGACUGAAACUCAAAGGAAUUGACGGGGUCAUAGCUGUUUCCUG